GCCAGUCAUAAAAUGGGUGGUCCUAUCCUCGCUGUGUCCAAUCACAGCACUUCCACAGACUCUGGGACAAAGCCUGAUGGACAGACGGGCCGAGGCCUGAGAGCAGACGGGCUGUAGACGGUCUGCUGUGAGUGGAGCUCCAUAAACGGUCAGGAAGGCGGUCCGAUUUACUCUGAGCAGAAGGGGAAGAGCAGACAGUAGAGCUCAUCACUGAGAGAGCCGAUCUGACCGGAGACGACAAGAUGGAAUGAGAAAUGAAGACGAGUGAUUGAGGAGUGGAUCAGAGAAUCGGAACUGGGAUUGCUUGUGGGAAGGAAUCAGUCUGCAUCUACAUUCGGUGUUGUUUCGGAACUCAACUGGACGCUCUGUUCUUCCUCCAUCCUAAAGUUCUACCUGAGCGUUCCUCCAGGUGUGAGAUGUUCAGGUCGUUUCAUGCCAAAUGCCCUUUGAACGGACCAGGUCAGGCCAGCUGAGCUGCUUUCUCUUGGACGUACGUCUCUUUGGUUGGUCAGCCCUGGUCAGUUCCUCUGCUGACCAUGGGGAACUACAGCUCUGCCCUGUAUGCUGAGGUGGAAGAUUUUAAAGCGAUCGUCUCCUCCCCAGAGAACGUGACCCCUGACCGCCACACGCUGGAGGACUCCCCCAUAAAUAAUUGUGUCAGCGGCGCUGAUGAGCCAGCAGUUUGGAAUCAGAAUGAACCGGACAUUUCUGUGCUCAAAUUUCUCCACAACUUUCCAGAGCCGUGCAGAGAAAACACAGAGUCUGAUGUUGCUGCGGUUGCUGCAUCUUCUGCAGGUUCAUCUAGAACAGACAUGAAACCCAAACUCACGCCACGCGGCCCACCCACUCUAGAGCGGCUCAGAGACGAGAUACAGGACAUGAGAGGAGAACUGGAGGUGCUGAAGAGUCAACACAAGAGAGACCUUAAACUGAUGAUGACCGAACUGGACGAAGAGAAGAAAAUGCGCCUGUCACUGGAGGUGGAGGUAGAUCGUCUGAAGAGACACAUGUCCAAAUGAUGUGGACAGGACAAACUUUGACUGCCCUCUGACCCGCCCGAGUAACAGACACUAAGGGGGUGGCCUUUAAGACGAACUGUGUUUGAAGCUCGCAGAGCCACAGACGAGGGUUCUAGGGUUCUGCAGCCGAUAUCGGGUCAAGCUCGGCUGUAACCCUGUCUGUGGAUGACGACCGCGCUGGCGUUAUACGACCUGCACCGUGUAUAUAUGGUAUCGGUCAGAGGUUCGGACCUGCCUGCCUGAAUGAACAGGUUUAUGAUCUCAAAGACAUUUUCAUCUAAAGGCUUAUAGGUUCCCUGAGUUCUAGAUAUUAACCACGUAACUCUGAGGCAGAAAGCCUAAAGUGCUUUUGUUGUUUUUGGAGCGUGUUUUCCGCAUCACAUUUAAAACGGGCAUUUAUUUUUCAAAAAACGAUAAAAUUUCUCAGUUUCUACGUCGGGCAGCACAGAUGUGUGGGGGGUAGCGAGAAGGGCCUGGUGUUGGGAAUGCGAGAGGUUAAUGCUUUGGGAAUGUUCUGCAUUAUGGAUAUUGUGGUGCAUGUAGUAGUCGUCGCCGGGUGCUGCAGCCUCGAACAGCACGUAAACGUUCCUCUCCCGCUCCUCUGCUCCUUUCUCUUUUAUUUAACACGGCCACUUGUUUAUGUUUGUGUUAUGCCUAAACUGUCUGCAAUAAACGGCCAGUACCUCGAGGUAAUCCUGC
ensembl:lncRNA